CCACCCCCUUUUCUUUGCUUUUGUGCAAUACACUAUGCUGUCACUUAUUGACCCUCCCCCCACAAAAAAAAAUGUAUCACCCUUUUUUCGAAAAAACAAAAAAAUUGCUUCCACCCCCAUAUCUUUCCCUCAUGAUUUUGUCAUAAUCUCAAUUCAAUGGAGUUUGCAACCAUAAUUACCCAUUUAAAUACAUCAUAAAAGUCUUAAAAUAGAAAAUGACACACAAUCAUGGCUAAAAUUUAUCAAUAUUCCUUAAUCAGCAUUUAAAAGUAACUUCUAAUAAUAAAUUGACAGCUAAUC
rnacentral:lncRNA from 1 species